UACAGGAGUAGCAGCUGUUCGGCGAAUUAUUGGGCGUAAAGAGCUCGUAGGCGGUUUGUCGCGUCUGCUGUGAAAACCCGAGGCUCAACCUCGGGCCUGCAGUGGGUACGGGCAGACUAGAGUGCGGUAGGGGAGAAUGGAAUUCCUGGUGUAGCGGUGGAAUGCGCAGAUAUCAGGAGGAACACCGAUGGCGAAGGCAGUUCUCUGGGCCGUAACUGACGCUGAGGAGCGAAAGCGUGGGGAGCGAACAGG
rnacentral:rRNA from 1 species